AAACUUCACUUGCUGCUUCAGUUGCACAGUAUAUGUACUAGCCAUUUUUGCCACUACUACUGGUAGUUUUUCUACCCAAUACCCACUCUUAUUCAAACUCUUAUACGCAAACCUUCACUAUUUAUUUUAUUCAAACUCUAUAAAUGAAUGUACAUGUACUUUCAUAAUCAUGCCUCCAACUCUCCUUAAGACACACACGUUCACAAUGUUAUGUACGCAUUGUCAGAUUUAUGCAAACAUACUCAUAAUUCUCUUGCUCUCCCUCCCUCAGUUCCUCCUUCCCACCCCCAUGUGUCUCCCUUUCUCUCUGUCCCUCUCUAUCUCACACUGGAGCUCCAUCAAUAAACCUAGGCCUCCUGUAAUGAAUACAACAUUUCAAACUCCUCUCAUCAAAUUAUAUUUCUGUUAAAUAUAGAUUUAAUUUUGUUUUUAACAAAUAUUGUUUAUUUUACUUACUUUUCAAUAGUUUAGGAUGCUUCUUUUCAACUGCCUUGGAUGCACUUUCAGGAUUACC